rnacentral:rRNA from 1 species
UAGGGAAUCUUCGGCAAUGGGGGCAACCCUGACCGAGCAACGCCGCGUGAGUGAAGAAGGUUUUCGGAUCGUAAAGCUCUGUUGUAAGAGAAGAACGAGUGUGAGAGUGGAAAGUUCACGCUGUGACGGUAUCUUACCAGAAAGGGACGGCUAACUACAUGCCAGCAGCCGCGGUAAUACGUAGGUCCCGAGCGUUGUCCGGAUUUAUUGGGCGUAAAGCGAGCGCAGGCGGUUAGAUAAGUCUGAAGUUAAAGGCUGUGGCUUAACCAUAGUACGCUUUGGAAACUGUUUAACUUGAGUGCAAGAGGGGAGAGUGGAAUUCCAUGUGUAGCGGUGAAAUGCGUGAAAUGCGUAGAUAUAUGGAGGAACACCGGUGGCGAAAGCGGCUCUCUGGCUUGUAACUGACGCUGAGGCUCGAAAGCGUGGGGAGCAAACAGGAUUAGAUACCCUGGUAGUCCACGCCGUAAACGAUGAGUGCUAGGUGUUAGACCCUUUCCGGGGUUUAGUGCCGCAGCUAACGCAUUAAGCACUCCGCCUGGGGAGUACGACCGCAAGGUUG